rnacentral:tRNA from 1 species
GGGGGCAGGUGCUCAAUGGUAGUGCACAUGUCUAGCAUGCAUGAGGUCCUGGCUUUAAUCCCCAGUUCCUCCA